UCAGAGAUUACUAGCUGUGUGACCCCCAUCAAUCACGCUGAUGCAGGCUCUUAUCACUGGACACCUAGACCACAGCAAUGCCUUUCUGAUGGGUCUUCCUGCUUCAAGUCUGUCUCCACUCCAAUCCAUCCUCCAUUCAGCUGCCAAAGUAAUCUUCCUUGAAACUGCAGGCUAUCAGAUCGUCUCCUGCUUCUUCCCCACGAAGAACUUCUACUUCGGGUCCUUCUGCUGUGGCUUCUUGAUCUUCUAUGUUCACUUGGAGAACAAGGAUGGCGCUCUUUUGAUUUCAUUUGGCCUGGUGCUAGAAUUUGAAGAACAUCACUGUAAAAUAAUUUAACACUAUAAAGCUUCAAUAAUAGCUAUAUAACUGGUCUAGUUAAUCAGUAUGAAAGAAUUUUAAGCAAAAAUCUAUUAUUCCUGAAACUAUAAUUUUUCAUAGCAAGUAAACUAUAUGUUUAUCUAC